UCAAAUACUCAAACACUAUUGGUUGGUGAAUAUAGAGGUUAACCCAAAAAUUUCUCUAUAUCUUUUGUGUUAAUAAGCUCUUAUGAGCAAAACUACUAUGGGUUUGAAGCUGCUCACACAUUAGAGUUCUUAUUCGCUUCUUCUCCCUCUCCGGAUUUCUCUUCUCUCUGUUUCCUCAACAUCCAAAUCCGGUCAAAUAUUAUUUGGUGAACAUUCAAUUGGUAGAUUUGCUGAAUCGUUCUUCCGUACAUCUUCUCAGGAUCCAUCCAUCGAUCUUUCCACCCAGAAUCUCUGAAUCAUUUUCAACAUAAUCGUUUGUAAACCAUUUGUCUGGUUCAAUCUAUCCCCAAUUCUAAAAGAGUCUCUGCAGUAUUUGAAUGUCUCUGUGAUCCCAUCUCUUUUUGAAAUUUUAGUAAUGUGUGGGAGGAGAUGAGUGAAUUGCAUCUUAUUUGUUGGCCAACGAAUCCGCUUGUAGGUUUCUUUUCCUCUCUUCUCAGAUUAUUUAUUGAUUCCAGAUUUAUUUUGUCUCUGAUUUUGGUACCUUCUCCCAGUUUUUGUAUUGCAGUCUACUCUAUUUUCAUUGUUUCGUAUUUAUUUUCCUAUUUCUGUUUUAUUAGUAUUUGUUCCGUGACGUUUCGCCAGAAGUACUGAUGAGAAUCCUGAAUAACUUUAGUGUAUAUAAGUGUUUUAAUGGAGAAGUUUGUACUUGAAGAAUAAGUGGAAGGAUUGCCAACUUUCGAUGAGAAAUCAAUAUUUAUAAUGCUGCAAAUCAGUGCAUUACAAUAAAAGAUAUAUUAAUGUGCUUUUGUAUUUCAUGCAUUUAUCUGCUUUGAGUUUUGAGUGAAUUUAAUUUUCUUGCCCUUUGUCCCUCUGUAAAAUACAACUACUGAACAUAUGAAGGUGAUAAUGCUGAUGUUACACGGAUUCAACUCUCAUUAUUUGGGAAUUAUCAGUUUGAUCGUUUGUUACAUAUUGGUUUUGGUAUAUGGUUAGCUUGUGUAGAACAUUGCUAUGUGCUAUGUCUAGCAGCGAAUGUCAGUGGAUACAGCCAAUCUCAACGCACCUAUAGCGAUGGUGCUAUUGGGUCACGAACAGAACUUCGAUCUUAUGGAUCCAUAGCUUGAUGAAGAUUUGUAAUACUGUUAUAGGACUGUAUACGUUUCUUGUGUUAGUAGCUGUUAUCGUGGCAUGUGGUUGAAUUUAGAAGUCUAAGAGAAUUGAUAAAAUUAUGACAAUGAUGUACAUUUAUCGUUGUAGAAAAAAGUAGCCAUAUAUCAAUAAAUUAGUCUAAA